rnacentral:rRNA from 1 species
AGUGAACGCUGGCGGUAGGCCUAACACAUGCAAGUCGAACGGCAGCACAGUAAGAGCUUGCUCUUACGGGUGGCGAGUGGCGGACGGGUGAGGAAUACAUCGGAAUCUACUUUUUCGUGGGGGAUAACGUAGGGAAACUUACGCUAAUACCGCAUACGACCUACGGGUGAAAGCAGGGGAUCUUCGGACCUUGCGCGAUUGAAUGAGCCGAUGUCGGAUUAGCUAGUUGGCGGGUUAAAGGCCCACCAAGGCUACGAUCCGUAGCUGGGAUGAGAGGAUGCUUAGCUACACUUGAAGUGAGACACGGUAAAGACGUAUAGGGGAUGCAGCAGUGGCGAUUAUUGGUCGAUGGGCGGAAGCCUGAUACAGCUAUACCGCGUGGGUGAAGCAGGCUGGCGGGUCGGAAAGUCAUUUUGUUGGGAAAAAAAAGCAGCAGGUUACUACUGCGUUGUCCUGACGGUAUCCUAGGAAUAAGCACCGGCUAACUGCGUG